GUUGGGGCUGGUCCUGCUUGGAGCAGGGGGCUGGACUAGAUGUGACCAACCCUCGUUUUCUAUGAUCUAUCCAGUUAUAUAAAUGGGCACGGUUGGGGAGGGGGAGGGAGAUACCAAAUUCCUUCUGGGAGAAUGCAGGCUCAUGUGUCUAGGCCAAGCAAAUCAGGAUGGCAGAGCUCAGUGGAAAGCUACACCAGGGAUGCUAAAAUGUGGAAUGACCCAGGGGAGACGCAGGCAGUGUAGUUUGCCACGGGGCACAGGGGCAAAAACAUCAGGACAGGAGCAUCGUGUUGUAGAGCAGGGAAGAAACUGGCAGCCUCCAGCAGCCGACCUCUACAGCACUGCCUGCUGCCCCAGCGAGCCGGAGCGUAGAUAAGCUUAUAGGUGGCCCAGAUUGAACUGGGAAGAACUCAGGAAGGAGCGAGAAGAAACUGGAAAGAUGAAUAUACAUGGAAGACUGGAUGGGGGCACGGCCAAACGGUGAGCCAGUGACACGGGGUAAGCUGCUGGCAGGUAGCAUCCAUUUGUCAUGCACCAGAGCAUGCAUUUACCUUUCUGGUAAACCUCCGUAAACCUCCUCCCUGGCUCACCUUGAGGUGCACCUGCAAGCAGUUGAGAGCUGUAAACCUGAGCGAGAGAGAGGUGACAUUUGGGACUGGACAGGUGCCGUGAAUGAAAUGAAGGCCAAGCAGAGGAACCCCGGGCUGCUGCCUUAAGAUUUGUUUCCAGACCAGAGCUGUCCCUGCCUGCCGUGCUCCCCAGGGGGCUUGCACAGUGGCCUCAGGACCGCGAUUGGGACUGACAGGGCAGCGUGCUCUGGACACAAGCGGGUCUAAGCACAAGCAAAGAGCUGAGGAGGGAGCUUUGAAGUGCAGAGCACUUGGAAGGAAGUCUAAUGGCUGGAGCGUCUUAGAGAGAAGAGUAAAUCACUAAGGAACUUAUUGCCUUAAUUCUUCUUUGUUAUUAUAUUUAACAGUAAAUCAAGAAGCUGUUGCCUUGGCAGUCUGAUGAUGCCCAGUAAGGCAGAAAGCAGAGCCCAUUUGGAAGCAUCCGACAAAUUAUCACUGCAAUUGUCUUCUGAAAGCUUUUGCUUCCUCAUGCAUUCAGAUGAGUCCUGAUUUCUCUGUUCCACUCAGCUUCAUCACACUGGAACCCCCUUCUCGAAAGGAUCGUUAAAACGGCAGCUGCCGGGAAGCCCAUUCCUGGGUGGGGAUGAGAGGUGUUUCUACAGUCCCCCGUGUGCACACACAUCUCCUCUGCAAAAUCCCUAGAGGAACCCAGGCAUUCGGCCCUGUAUGUUUUCCUCAGGAGGGGAAUGCUCUUCUGGUUCCUGGAAGACCUAAUAACUUGCGCCAUAGGUUUGUGCAGCAGGUUACAGCAGUGCUCAGCUGCCUGGUACGGGGCUGCGAGGCAUACUGCGUUCGUGGUGGCGAAAUGUGUCGCACGGUCAGAGCAGUGUUUCAGCACCUAUUUAAUAAAUAUCUGGCUCUCGGGCAUUAGCAUUUGCUAGUAAAACUAUCCUUCUGUGCCAACGCCUCCCAUUCCCAGAGGCUUUCUGUUCAGGUUCCCAAGUCACCCCCAAGCCAUCCAUCGGGUUGGCUUGGGCAGGCCGAACACGGGACAGGGAGCAGCGGGCUCGUGUCAGGAGGGAGGUAAGGCGCCUGAAACCCCUGUUCUGUGGACCUACCAGCACAGGGGAGAAACUGCUCCUGGAAGCAGGCCCCGUGUGCAGCCCUUCAGCAGCUCCUUGGUUGCCACCAGGUGAGAGAGGAGUGGCUGGACCAGCUAUUUGCUUGCGUGAGGGAUGUGGACAUCAGACCUGGGAUGUUCACCCUCCCCUCCUGCCACGGGCCAAUGCUCAGUGAACAGCGGCUUGCCUAUGUGCACAGAGGGACGGCUAAGCACACCUGUGCCCUGUUAAGCUGCUCCCUUCUCUGCUAAGCUCAGCACCCUGCCCUCAGUGCCAGCAGGCAGAAGGAAGCUGGGCUGCAUUGCAGAUGCUGUGAGAUUGAACAGAGGGGAGGGAAACGUGGCUGGGGAAGUGGUGGCAAUGCCACCCAGGCCAGAGAGGCAGCAUUGCAGCGUGUCCAGGGGAUUCAGCAUUGUUGUCACCCAGAUUUUGAGCCACCCACCAGCUGAGCAGGGAAGUGACUGCGGGGGAAGCUGGGGUGCAUGUACGGCAGGCUCGCUGGUCCACACCGAGUCCCAGCGCAGACUUGGCGUGCACCAACUGGGAGGUCGCAUGCCCCACCGCAAAACAGGGCUGCAGGAGGCAUCACUUUGGAGACCUGACAGCACCGUCACUUUGUGCUCUGGCUUCCUGCGCAGGAACUUCCCCACGGGGAUAAGCUCUGGGUGCCCGUAGCUUUGGGUCAGAUCUUUCCAAGAGGCUCAGAGUUGCACCGGGGGGCACAAGGCAGAGGAAACAGACUAUGCUUUGCUGCAGCCGGGGUGGCCUCUAUCUGCCAGUGCAGGCCAAGCUGCCUGGCUCGACAGACAAAGACAUCAGUGCUAGUUCCCCAGCCUGCGACUUAGCAGAGCGUGAUGGAGAGGGGGCUCAGCCAGCGUGGAGGCCACAGGACAUGGAGCCACAAACUAAUCCCUUGGACAACUGUGCCAAAGGCCGGUGGCAGAAGAGGAUGCAACCCCAGGGAUUGACACACAGGAAGGGCAGAGCAAGGUGCAGUGGUGUGAGGCCAUGCGAGGGAAGGAGGCAGAGAGGCCAGGAAGCUGCUGGGGAAAGCGCCACGUGAUGCAGCAUGUUGCAGAUGCUCGGGAAAGGCCCUGGGGAAGGCAGUUUGCAAUGUAAAACAUUUAGGAACCAAACAUCCAUGAGGCUGACCCUGCCACACAUGUGAGGGAUCCAGUUCCCGUGGGCCAGGACCUGGUGCCCAUAUCCUCUUUGUGCCCUUGAGACCCUCCCCAGACAGUCCAGUGCAAGACCAGCCCAGUCAGUGGGCAUCUUUGCAUCAGCCACGGCAGCUGCUGGGUCAAGCCUUUAGCUCCUGCGGUGACGGAUGUGACAUCAGAGCUCAGCAGACAGAUUUGGCUGCCGCAACUUCUGCAGCCUGCCAUCCCCUCCGCGCCAGCUCACUGUUUGGGGCACAGAUGGAAGAACCGCCCUGUUUCCAAGAGAAGACAUCGCUCCUACCACGAGCACCCCCACCAGGGCUCGGCUGUGGGCAGAUCUCCUGCAAGCUGGAAAAUCCUUGUGGAUCAGGGCCGGGCCCUCCCAGCUCUGAGCUGCUUAAAUGCUGAGAGCUUGUCUGGACAGCCCUGGAGCAGGGGGGACUAUGAAGCUGCAUGCAAAUGGUCUUUGUCUUUUUUUUUUCAUCAAAAAUACAAAACCCGCCAAAGCCGUGCCUUGCAGCCGCGGUCGGCCCCGGUGCCACGGCUGUGGGGAGGCGCACGCGGUGGCCCCCGGAGGCAGUGUGCUCCUUCCCCGCUCGCCAAACAGACUUCAUCUCCCAGUGGCAGCUGGAGCUUUCCCAGAGAGACGACUGGUUGUUUUAAAAAA